rnacentral:rRNA from 1 species
GAUGAACGCUGGCGGCGUGCUUAACACAUGCAAGUCGAACGGACUUAUGAUGAAACCUAGUGAUUCGUAAGUUAGUGGCGGACGGGUGAGUCACGCGUGGAUAACCUGCCUUACACUGGGGGAUAACACUUAGAAAUAGGUGCUAAUACCGCAUAGCGCACAGGACCGCAUGGUCUGGUGUGAAAAACUCCGGUGGUGUAAGAUGGAUCCGCGUCUGAUUAGCUAGUUGGUGAGGUAACGGCUCACCAAGGCGACGAUCAGUAGCCGGCCUGAGAGGGUGAACGGCCACAUUGGGACUGAGACACGGCCCAAACUCCUACGGGAGGCAGCAGUGGGGAAUAUUGCACAAUGGGCGAAAGCCUGAUGCAGCGACGCCGCGUGAGUGAAGAAGUAUUUCGGUAUGUAAAGCUCUAUCGGCAAGGAAGAAAAUGACGGUACUUGACUAAGAAGCCCCGGCUAACUACGUGCCAGCAGCCGCCGUAA